rnacentral:lncRNA from 1 species
AAAGAUUAUAGGCAAGGAUUAGAGCAAUACUGAUAAUGCAGGUGUUCAACUUUUUAUUCGUUUUCAACUCAAACGUAAAAACCAACUGUCAAUUUCAUGUACCUUAAAAGUUAUUAUAGAUCUUAUGUCAGUGCUGAUGUAUGCUGAUUCGUAUGGCUGAUCUCACUUUAGGACCGACCACAUACUCUAUGUACGUCAGAUCUUCCUACUUGUGUGGUGUGUCAACAAUUUGGGAUUGGUCCCUAAGGAAAUAAGAUUCUAUGUCCCUCUGGUGAUAUAAUUGAGUGUCGGAAUGUACCCUAUUCUAUAGUUGCUGAAUGAUAUACAGUUUGUUUUUUUUUCAUUUUCACGUUUUUAAUUAUUAGUACACAUAUUCAUUUGUUGAUUUUUUUUUCUUGCUACUUCUUUUGAUAUCAUAUAUGGUAUAAUAUCAAAUUUUAGUUUUUUAUUUUUAUUUUUGAUAGAAAUUUUGAAUAAUCUAUAUUAUAUGUGAUGAAAUAGAAUUUUUUUUAAUGGUGUCGUGACAAUUACUAAGCGAAUAUAACAUCUAUCAUAUACUCAAGCAUACAAAGAUGUAUUGUAACAACCAACCUUUAGUUUGGAUUUUGGGUAAAAAUUUGUGUUCCACGUGAGAUUGGCACAUUUAUUGAACCUAGAAAGGAAUUCUUAUAUUGAUCAAAGAGUAAUAUAAGGAUUUUAAAUCAUAAUUCACUACGUAACUUAACUUAAAUAACCCCUUAUUAAAAAAAAAUUCAUUUGCACCAAAACGUAAACCUCAAAGCCAUAUUUGAUUGCAUCCAAACAUCAAAAAUGGAGAAUCUACCGUAAUAAGGAGUAUAGUCUGAAACAUAAAAUUUAAAGAAGGCAAAGUCUAAAAUGAAAACUAUGAAGCAGGAAAUGACUUAAGAUAUAUUAGUCACUCUUAGCACGUUUAGUUUCCUGUGAUUCAAGACAGCUAGAAGCAUUUCUAAUCCUCUCAUCUGCUGGAUCUUCAAUGGCGUUUUGUGGAGCUGGUGCUGGGAGUACCUUUGUGACAGUGAUGGUUUGAGUCUUGCCAGUGAGGUUAUGCUGAGAGACUUUGACAACAAACUUGUGUGUCUGUCCAAUGGUAUCCAUGAGAGUUUGUUGAACCGGGACAGUUUGAUCAGCUCCCACGUCCUCGUUUAACUGACAUUCAAGUAAAGCACUUGUGUGAGAACAUAGACUGAGCUGGUGGAUAAAAAUGUUUGAAAUUACCUCAAAGUAUCUUGCAACUAACUCUGAAACAUGCUUGCCGGUCAACUCACGACCAACAUCACCAAGAAGGACAAACACCGCCUGCUCACUCUUGUCAUAAACAGAGAUCUUAGUUAAGUACCUGCCAAGAAAGAAAAUUAGUAAAGAUUGAUGAUAAUAGAUGGAUGUAAUGAAGCUAACAACUCUUACUGUGGAACUCCCACGACCUCAGAUUUGGCACACUUUUUGUUCGUACAAACCAGUGAGGUAGGCCCUUUGGUUGCCUUUGUGUUACACCCACCACAAGAAAUAUAAUACCAUGGGGAACCAUGGAGUACAUCAUCGAUAGUGGCUGUACACUCAAAGCCUUCUGGUGUCAUUCCUCUUCAUAACCAUCCAGGGAUGACAGUUUUUAGCAAGCUUCUCUUUGGUACAAUGCACAUCAAGUCGUAUGAUUGGGUGGUUGAUGCUCCAUGUAAGCUUACUUGCAUUUCAAGAAAAAUUAUAAGCUAUAAAACCUUUUGGUUAUUAGUAUCUUACAAUAAGUCUUUGGUAGGGUUCUUAGAUGUUCUAACGUAGUCACUUUUAACUAUUUAUCUCAAAGAUAUAAUCCCAGUUUAGUAAAAGAUUAUAGGCAAGGAUUAGAGCAAUACUGAUAAUGCAGGUGUUCAACUUUUUAUUCGUUUUCAACUCAAACGUAAAAACCAACUGUCAAUUUCAUGUACCUUAAAAGUUAUUAUAGAUCUUAUGUCAGUGCUGAUGUAUGCUGAUUCGUAUGGCUGAUCUCACUUUAGGACCGACCACAUACUCUAUGUACGUCAGAUCUUCCUACUUGUGUGGUGUGUCAAC